UACGGGGGGUGCAAGCGUUGCUCGGAAUCACUGGGCGUAAAGCGUCCGCAGGUGGGUGUGUGUGUCGGAUGUGAAAGCCCAGGGCUCAACCCUGGAACUGCAUUCGAAACUGCACAUCUUGAGUACGGGAGAGGGAAGCAGAAUUCCUGGUGUAGAGGUGAAAUUCGUAGAUAUCAGGAGGAAUACCUGUGGCGAAAGCGGCUUCCUGGUCCGAUACUGACACUCAUGGACGAAAGCGCGGGGAGCAAAC
rnacentral:rRNA from 1 species